rnacentral:piRNA from 1 species
UAAUGUUGUUGUACCUACAGGGUUGCA